rnacentral:rRNA from 1 species
GACGAACGCUGGCGGCGUGCUUAACACAUGCAAGUCGAACGGUGAUCUUGAGAGCUUGCUCUUGGGUGAUCAGUGGCGAACGGGUGAGUAACACGUGAGUAACCUGCCCCUGACUCUGGAAUAACUUCGGGAAACCGAAGCUAAUACCGGAUAUGACACAGAGCCGCAUGGUUUCUGUGUGGAAAGUUUUUCGGUUGGGGAUGGACUCGCGGCCUAUCAGCUUGUUGGUGAGGUAAUGGCUCACCAAGGCGACGACGGGUAGCCGGCCUGAGAGGGCGACCGGCCACACUGGGACUGAGACACGGCCCAGACUCCUACGGGAGGCAGCAGUGGGGAAUAUUGCACAAUGGGCGAAAGCCUGAUGCAGCGACGCCGCGUGAGGGAUGAAGGCCUUCGGGUUGUAAACCUCUUUCAGUAGGGAAGAAGCGCAAGUGACGGUACCUACAGAAGAAGACCGGCUAACUACGUGCCAGCAGCCGCGGUAACUCUAGUCU